rnacentral:pre_miRNA from 7 species
AGCUUGGUUGCAGAGGGGAAGUGACCCUGAAAGACCCCCGCAGGGAGACCCUCACUCAAGCCUCGGGACAGCCGCGGACCCAAGAAGACACCAAGACCA